rnacentral:rRNA from 1 species
UGAGUACGAGCUGCUACGGCAGCGAAGUGGGUGAUGUCAAGCUUCCAAGAAAAGCCCUAUACCCGUUAAGGCAUGACGGCCUGUACCCGAAACCGACACAGGUGGGGUGGUAGAGAAUACCGAGGGGCGCGAGAUAACUCUCUCUAAGGAACUCGGCAAAAUGGCCCCGUAACUUCGGGAGAAGGGGUGCCACCGCAAGGUGGUCGCAGUGAAGAGGCCCAGGCGACUGUUUACCAAAAACACAGGUCUCCGCUAAGUCGCAAGACGAUGUAUGGGGGCUGACGCCUGCCCAGUGCCGGAAGGUUAAGGAAGCUGGUCAGCGCAAGCGAAGCUAGCGACUGAAGCCCCGGUGAAUGGCGGCCGUAACUAUAACGGUCCUAAGGUAGCGAAAUUCCUUGUCGGGUAAGUUCCGACCCGCACGAAAGGCGUAACGAUCUGGGCGCUGUCUCGGAGAGAGGCUCGGCGAAAUAGAAUUGUCUGUGAAGAUGCGGACUACGUGCACCCGGACAGAAAGACCCUAUGAAGCUUUACUGUAGCUUGGUAUUGUGCCCGGGCUCUGAAUGCGCAGGAUAGGUGGGAGGCUUUGAUCCAUGGCUUGCGGGUCAUGGUGAGCCAACGGUGAGAUACCACUCUUUCAGAGCUAGGGUUCUAACCUUCACCCGUUAUCCGGGGAGGGGACAGUAUCAGGUGGGCAGUUUGACUGGGGCGGUCGCCUCCUAAAAGGUAACGGAGGCGCGCAAAGGUUUGCUCAGGCUGGUUGGAAAUCAGCCGACGAGUGUAAAAGCAGAAGCAAGCUUGACUGUGAGACCAACAAGUCGAACAGGGACGAAAGUCGGCUUUAGUGAUCCGACGGUUCUGAGUGGAAGGGCCGUCGCUCAACGGAUAAAAGUUACUCUAGGAUAACAGGCUGAUCUCCCCCAAGAGUUCACAUCGACGGGGAGGUUUGGCACCUCGAUGUCGGCUCAUCGCAACCUGGGGCUGGAGUCGGUCCCAAGGGUUGGGCUGUUCGCCCAUUAAAGCGGUACGCGAGCUGGGUUCAGAACGUCGUGAGACAGUUCGGUCCAUAUCCGGUGCAUGCGUAAGAACAUUGAGAGGAGUUCUCCCUAGUACGAGAGGACCGGGAGGAACGCACCUCUGGUGUACCAGUUAUCGUGCCAACGGUAAACGCUGGGUAGCCAUGUGCGGAGAGGAUAACCGCUGAAAGCAUCUAAGUGGGAAGCCCACCUCAAGAUGAGUGUUCUCAUGGCUUAAGCCAGUAAGGUCACGGGAAGAACACCCGUUGAUAGGCUCUACGUGGAAGCGCAGCAAUGUGUGAAGCGGAGGAGUACUAAUAGACCGAGGGC